rnacentral:lncRNA from 1 species
AAUGAGCCUUCAACGCCUAUCAAAAAUGAGAGUGGAUCAAGCAGUGAUACUUGUAUGACUCCAGUCACCGUAUCCAACACGUGUCUGCUAGUAGCUGCAGCUGUCGGCCCACUCGCUCCAGGAUUCAAGUUUCCUCAGACAAAAAAGCCAUCACUAAACAGUUGGACCAAGUCCCAAGACUCAGCAGGCGGUGAUGAGUCGCCCCCUAAAAUACUCCUCAAGGAAGCAAUGGAGUAACAGGAAACGGAAACGGGGCUGGAUUUGCCAAGAAGCGUUGGCUAAGACAAGCCAUCAGCGAAGAAUCGGAGACACCUGCAGGUGGCUCUCCCUUCAUAGAGCAAGCAGUCGGACCAUUAAAGAAACGAAGGCUGGCGAGAGAGUCUAUGUCAUCGGAACAGUCAUUCACUCCGCCAACAACCCCGACUCAUGUUGGCAGCAAUUCUUUGCCUGGUUUUGAUGAAGAUUCUCGCAUGUCAGCUCAUGAGGAAAUGAACAUGGACCAGGGAGCGACCAGUUGUGACUCAGCGAUUAACGAAGACGGCGAUCUCAGUCCUGAGCUCAUCAAGAGGAAUCUAAGUCCGGAGCUGAUCCAAAGAAAUAAGAACCUGGAAGAAGUGAAACAGGAACUCUUUGAAGAUGAAGCUGAGGAAGACAAGGAGCAUCCAAUCGCAUCCAGCCCAGAACUAAUUAAAAGGGAACCUGAGCCGGAGCCAAAAAUCGAAGUAGAAUCGGACAAGACGGAGAUGAAACUUAUAGACAGGGUGGAACAGGAGUUGUCCAAUCUUAUGGGCUUUACAGAUACUAAACCGUUGUUGUUCAGUCUUGAACGAAGAAAGAAGAGCAGCCGGAAGAAGUAG